CAUGUAGGUUGGACUUUAAGUCAGUUGUUAAAUAUUACGGCUUAACCGUAUUAUGCAAUUGAAACUGGAGUUCUUGAGUAUGAGAGGGGACGAGAGGAAUACCUAGUGUAGCGGUGGAAUGCGUAGAUAUUAGGUAGAACACCUGAGGCGAAGGCGUCUGUCUGGCUCAUAACUGACACUGAUAUGCGAAAAGCAUGGGUAAGACAAACA
rnacentral:rRNA from 1 species